rnacentral:rRNA from 1 species
CCCCAACUAUCCUUAUUAAUCAUUACGUCGAUCCUGGAAACCAACAAAAUAAGAUAGAUUCCCAUAUUUCAAAAUCCCAGGAAAAUGAAUUCAACCGUGGCCCGGUUUUAAACACCCAAAUUUUUUAAGGGAAAAAUUCGGGAUUCCCCGCAACCCCAAAUUAAGGGCAUUACGGUUCAUCAAAAGGGAGGAAUCGGGGGAACAGUAACAUACCGGGGGGACGACCACCCUACUGACCCCCAAAUUCCACU